rnacentral:tRNA from 1 species
GCCGCCGUGGCACAAUCCGGUACUGCGUUAGCCUUGAGAGCUGAUUUCCUUCGGGAUAUCUCAGUUCAAAUCUGAGCGGCGGCG